UACAGAGGUCUCAAGCGUUGUUCGGAUUCAUUGGGCGUAAAGGGUGCGUAGGCGGCGCGGUGAGUCGGAUGUGAAAUCUCGGAGCUUAACUCCGAAACUGCAUUCGAUACUGCCGUGCUUGAGGACUGGAGAGGAGACUGGAAUUUACGGUGUAGCGGUGAAAUGCGUAGAUAUCGUAAGGAAGACCAGUGGCGAAGGCGGUUCUCUGGGCAUGUCCUGACGCUGAGGAGCGAAAGUGUGGGGAGCGAACAGG
rnacentral:rRNA from 1 species